rnacentral:tRNA from 1 species
GCGGAAAAUCGCACAUCUGGUCUUGAUAUUAGAGCAUCGGACUGUCGAUCCGAAGGUUGAGGGUUCGAGUCCCUUCGGCA